CCUACGGGUGGCUGCAGUGGGGAAUAUUGCACAAUGGGCGCAAGCCUGAUGCAGCCGUGCCGCGUGUGUGAAGAAGGCCUUCGGGUUGUAAAGCACUUUCAGCGGGGAGGAAGGCGGUGAGGUUAAUAACCUCAUCGAUUGACGUUACCCGCAGAAGAAGCACCGGCUAACUCCGUGCCAGCAGCCGCGGUAAUACGGAGGGUGCAAGCGUUAAUCGGAAUUACUGGGCGUAAAGCGCACGCAGGCGGUCUGUCAAGUCGGAUGUGAAAUCCCCGGGCUCAACCUGGGGACUGCAUUCGAAACUGGCAGGCUAGAGUCUUGUAGAGGGGGGUAGAAUUCCAGGUGUAGCGGUGAAAUGCGUAGAGAUCUGGAGGAAUACCGGUGGCGAAGGCGGCCCCCUGGACAAAGACUGACGCUCAGGUGCGAAAGCGUGGGGAGCAAACAGGAUUAGAUACCCCGGUAGUC
rnacentral:rRNA from 1 species